CACCGAAUCUCGCAGGUUCACCCUGCCGAGAAAUGUGGUGUUUGGGAGGGUCCACUUAUCCCGGGAUCCUGCGGCGAGUUCAAGUCCUUCUUGAAUGGGGCCACGCUCCGCAGAGGGUGCCAGKCCCGUAGAGACCGCUGCGGCUUCCGGGAGGAUCUCUCCUUAGAGUCGGGUUGCUUGAGAGUGCAGCCCUAAGUGGGUGGUAAACUCCAUCUAAGGCUAAAUAUGACCACGAGACCGAUAGCGAACAAGUACCGUGAGGGAAAGUUGAAAAGAACUUGAAGAGAGAGUUCAAGAGUACGUGAAACCGUUCGGGGGUAAACGUGAGAAACCCGAAAAUACCUCAACCGGGGAGAUUCAAGCCUUAUCCGCGCCUCUUCCCCUGCUUUGGCCAGAUGGGUCCGUCCCCCUGCACGGAGCAAUCCGGCGUCAGGGUGGUAACGGGUUUCUACUCGGCCGGGUAGUGGUGGCGAGGUCGGUGGGCCGCACUUCUCCCCUCGUUGGACGUCGCGACCCGUUGGGUGUCGGUCUAAGGCCUGGGUGUGUAGCCUGUUCGUCCGCGUCGCAAGGCGUGUUCGUCGGACAGACCCCCGGUGUUCCGGCCGACGGCUCGACGGUAUGUGUGCGCGGAGUUGAUUCGCCGCCCUUCGGGGCAGGCGUCCGGCCCCUGACAAGCGAGGGCGCGCGGCAUGGACGACGGACCUCCGGCCCGGCUCCGGCCCCGCUCAGCUGUUGGUUUGGGGAUGCCUCGGACAGAAGAAUCUUGUAGACUCCCGUCAGCGGCGCAAAAGCUUCGGGUAAUUUCACGACCCGUCUUGAAACACGGACCAAGGAGUCUAACAUGUGCGCGAGUCAUUGGGUUGACACUAAACCUAAAGGCGCAAUGAAAGUGAAGGUCCCGCCUUGUGCGGACCGAGGGAAGAUGGGCCGCGCUGCUGUGCGGCUCCGCAUUCCCGGGGCGUCUCGUUCUCAUUGCGAGUUGAGGCGCACCCAGAGCGUACACGUUGGGACCCGAAAGAUGGUGAACUAUGCCUGGCCAGGACGAAGUCAGGGGAAACCCUGAUGGAGGUCCGUAGCGAUUCUGACGUGCAAAUCGAUCGUCGGAGCUGGGUAUAGGGCG
rnacentral:rRNA from 1 species